GGAGAGGUGGGUGAGUGGCUGAAACCAGUUCCCUGCUAAGGAACCGUAUCUUAAUUGGUACCGAGGGUUCGAAUCCCUCCCUCUCCGCCA
rnacentral:tRNA from 1 species